UGUGAGGAUGUUCUGGUUUGCUGUGGUCUCAUAGAGAUCUCACAGGCUCCAGCUGAAGCCAUUGAACUCUUUCCACUGGAACCUACUGAGCUUAACCUCUCCCACCUGCCAGCCCUGGGCCCAACAGAGACAUUCCUGGAGGUAAAAAAGCAGCCAAGAAGUGGUGAGAGGGGAGAAAACAGAAACCUGCUGAGUUCACCCUGUAGUAACUUUGUGGAUGAGGAUGAGCCCUGCCCACCUUCGCUCCUCACAGCAGUGGUUCAGCCAAGCAGUUGGAGCCCUGACAAUCCAGUGCUCCCAGCCAGUCCUUUCUAGGUGAGGGGGAUGAAUUGCUGAAGGCCCAGCUUCCUGAAGGAGGUUUAGGGUGUUAACCCAGCUCCACUUGGUCUCCUCUGUGAAAUUAUGGCAAAAGUUGCUCCUCAGAUGGCUUUAUAUUUGCAUUUCUAUUAAAUAUUUAUUGUUCCUUUUCUUGCAAGGAACUAUUAUGUGGCAGACAUCCUAUAUAUUUUUAUAUUCCCA
rnacentral:lncRNA from 1 species